rnacentral:rRNA from 1 species
AACGUAGGACGCAAGCGUUAUCCGGAGUUACUGGGCGUAAAGCGCGCGCAGGCGGCUCGACAAGUUCGCUGUGAAAGCUCCCGGCUCAACCGGGCGAGGGCAGUGGAAACUAUCGAGCUGGAGGGCAGUAGAGGCAGGCGGAAUUCCGGGUGGAGUGGUGAAAUGCGUAGAGAUCCGGAGGAACACCAGAGGCGAAGGCGGCCUGCUGGGCUGCACCUGACGCUGAGCCGCGAAAGCCAGGGGAGCGAACGGG